rnacentral:rRNA from 1 species
UACGUAGGGGGCAAGCGUUGUCCGGAAUUAUUGGGCGUAAAGAGCGUGUAGGCGGUCCGGUAAGUCGGCUGUGAAAGUCCAGGGCUCAACCCUGGGAUGCCGGUCGAUACUGCCGGACUAGAGUUCGGAAGAAGCGAGUGGAAUUCCCGGUGUAGCGGUGAAAUGCGCAGAUAUCGGGAGGAACACCUAUGGCGAAGGCAGCUCGCUGGGACGUUACUGACGCUGAGACGCGAAAGCGUGGGGAGCAAACAGG